ACGUAGGGUGCAAGCGUUAAUCGGAAUUACUGGGCGUAAAGCGUGCGCAGGCGGACUUUUAAGCCAGAUGUGAAAGCCCCGAGCUUAACUUGGGAACUGCGUUUGAAACUAUCAAGCUAGAAUAUGUCAGAGGGGGGUAGAAUUCCACGUGUAGCAGUGAAAUGCGUAGAUAUGUGGAGGAACACCGAUGGCGAAGGCAGCCCCCUGGGUCAAAACUGACGCUCAUGCACGAAAGCGUGGGGAGCAAACAGGA
rnacentral:rRNA from 1 species